GGCGUCAGAGGUGUAUAAGAGACGGGUGAAUCAUCGAAUCUUUGAACGCACAUUGCGCCCUGUGGUAUUCCGCAGGGCAUGCCUGUUCGAGCGUCAUUUCAACCCUCAAGCCUCGCUUGGUGUUGGGCCCUGCCCGUCGCGGCCGGCCCUAAAGAUAGUGGCGGCGCCGCCUGGCCCUCAGCGUAGUACAGCUCUCGCUCCAGGGUCCGGCGGCAGCCUGCCAGAACCCCCCAACUCUUGUGGUUGACCUCGGAUCAGGUAGGGAUACCCGCUGAACUUAAGCAUAUCAAUAAGCGGAGG
rnacentral:misc_RNA from 1 species